AAGAAAUUAGUUAAAUGUAACAUUAGUAUGUCAUGCUAAAAUUAUUGGUACAGUCCAAUAUUUCUUA
rnacentral:tRNA from 1 species